rnacentral:rRNA from 1 species
UCCUUUUGAUAAUAAUAUAAGGUCUAACCUGCCCACUGAAAUUUUAAAGGGCCGCAGUAUUUUAACUGUGCAAAGGUAGCAUAAUAAUUAGUUUCUUAAUUAGAAGCUGGUAUGAAUGGUUGAACGAGAAAUUUACUGUCUCAAUUUAUAAAUUAAAAUUUUAUUUUUAAGUUAAAAAGCUUAAAUUUAUUUAAAAGACGAGAAGACCCUAUAGAGUUUUAUAGGUUUAAGUAUAUUAUUUUUAGAAUUUUAUUUUAUUUAAAUUUAUUUUAUUGGGGUGAUAUAUAAAUUUAAUAAACUUUAUAUUUUUAAUGACAUAAAUUAAUGUUUAAUUGAUCCAUAAUAAUGAUUAAAAGAAAAAAUUACCUUAGGGAUAACAGCGUAAUUUUUUUUUAGAGUUCUAAUCGAAAAAAAAGAUUGCGACCUCGAUGUUGGAUUAAAAUUAAUUUUUGGUGUAGAAGCUAAAAUAUUAGGUCUGUUCGACCUUUAAAAUUUUACAUGAUCUGAGUUUAAACCGGUGUGAGCCAGGUUGGUUUCUAUCUUUAAAUAAAAUAAAUAUUUUAGUACGAAAGGACCAAAUAUUUUUAAAAUUUAAUAUUUUUUGAAUA